CAAAAAUGCCCCUCUCCCAUUGUCUAUUUCCUCAGAUCUCAACCUCUUCGUCUCCUUUUUCUUCCUCCUCCCUUCCAUCUGAGCCCUAGUUUUCCACGACAUCUCUCAAUAUUCAAAAAAAUGGGGAAGCCAUCCAAAGGCAAGAAAUCUGAUAAUUUGGGGAAGGGAAUGGUCACCCCCAUACAAAUCGCCUUCAUUGUCGACCGAUACCUCUGCGACAACAACUACUUGGUAACCUGCUUUCUUUUCAGAACUGAAGCUUCGUCCCUCAUUGCCAAAUCGGCGAUUUAAGAGGCUCUGAAGAGUUUGCUGAGCGUGAUGAACACUUACAAUGCUGGCGGAAGCCCCGCAAUCUCUGCACCUCCGGAUGUGGCUUUGAAGUCGAUGCUUAUGGCUACUCUGUGCUCACCUGUCUAAUGGAUUCGCUACAGGCUGACAUGGUACUGGAAUUCCUGCAGAAGAUUUCAAAUCGUGUUAACAACUCAACAACUUAAAAGUUGAUGUAUCAUUAGAUAACACAUAGUGCACUGCUAUUUUAUUAGCUCGAGUGAUAGGAAUUGUAUUAUUUAGCAUUACACAGUGGGUUUAGUAUGGAUGUUGAAGUGAUUGAUGUCGAAGGAAUGGUGCAUCGUGGAAUGGUGGAGAAAUGAUUGGCUUUAAUCAUUAUACAAUACUCGUGCUCAAUGGGUACCUGUGUAUUUCUGGGAUUCCUUUUUUGAUGCUAUAUCUCCCAAUCAAAAGUACGAUGGCUUCUUUUUUGAAGGCUAUGUGAAUUAACAUACCACAUUACCAUUGUUCUUUAGGCAAUAUGAAAGAGCUUUGGAGAACUGGUUUGAAAGGGAAAUGGAACCAGACUUUUCUGAUUGUGAUUUGUGUAGUUUUUCUAUUUUAUUAUUACUUACCAAUACUCUUUGCUUUUCAUUUUAUAGGUCUCCAUGUAUGUUGUUGCAACACAUUAGGUCUGUUGGGAUUGUAGGGAUAUUAGUUAGUUGGUUAGUAGCUUAUGAGUGAAGCAAAGAAUAUUUGUAUAAAUAACAAAAA